rnacentral:rRNA from 1 species
AGUGAGGAAUAUUGGACAAUGGGCGCAAGCCUGAUCCAGCCAUGCCGCGUGCAGGAAGAAGCAUCUAUGGUGUGUAAACUGCUUUUGUACGGGAAGAAACACUCCUUCGUGAAGGAGCUUGACGGUACCGUAAGAAUAAGGAUCGGCUAACUCCAUGCCAGCAGCCGCGGUAAUACGGAGGAUCCAAGCGUUAUCCGGAAUCAUUGGGUUUAAAGGGUCCGUAGGCGGUUUGGUAAGUCAGUGGUGAAAGCCCGCAGCUCAACUGUGGAACGGCCAUUGAUACUGCCAGACUUGAAUUACAAGGAAGUAACUAGAAUAUGUAGUGUAGCGGUGAAAUGCUUAGAUAUUACAUGGAAUACCAAUUGCGAAGGCAGGUUACUACUUGUGGAUUGACGCUGAUGGACGAAAGCGUGGGGAGCGAACAGGAUUAGAUACCCUGGUAGUCCACGCCGUAAACGAUGGAUACUAGCUGUUGGGGGCAACUUCAGUGGCUAAGCGAAAGUGAUAAGUAUCCCACCUGGGGAGUACGUUCGCAAGAAUG